rnacentral:tRNA from 1 species
UUAAUAUCUCCAUUUUUGUUUUGAACAAUUUAUUCUAAUUUAGAAUAUUAAU